CCUACGGGGGGCAGCAGUGGGGGAUAUUGGACAAUGGGGGGAACCCUGAUCCAGCGACGCCGCGUGAGUGAAGAAGUAUUUCGGUAUGUAAAGCUCUGUCAGCAGGGAAGAAAGAAAUGACGGUACCUGACCAAGAAGCCCCGGCUAACUACGUGCCAGCAGCCGCGGUAAUACGUAGGGGGCAAGCGUUAUCCGGAAUUACUGGGUGUAAAGGGAGCGUAGACGGUUAAGUAAGUCUGGAGUGAAAGGCCGGGGCUCAACCCCGGUACUGCUCUGGAAACUAUUUAACUUGAGUGCAGGAGAGGUAAGCGGAAUUCCUAGUGUAGCGGUGAAAGGCGUAGAUAUUAGGAGGAACACCAGUGGCGAAGGCGGCUUACUGGACCGCGACUGACGUUGAGGCUCGAAAGCGUGGGGAGCGAACAGGAUUAGAUACCCCAGUAGUC
rnacentral:rRNA from 1 species